UACGUAGGGACCAAGCGUUGUUCGGAUUUACUGGGCGUAAAGGGCGCGUAGGCGGCGUGGUAAGUCAGUUGUGAAAUCUCCGAGCUUAACUCGGAACGGCCAACUGAUACUGCUGUGCUAGAGUGCAGAAGGGGCAAUCAGAAUUCUUGGUGUAGCGGUGAAAUGCGUAGAUAUCAAGAGGAAUACCAGAGGUGAAGACGGGUUGCUAGGCUGACACGUGACGCUGGAGGCGCGAAAGCGUGGGGAGCAAACAGG
rnacentral:rRNA from 1 species